rnacentral:rRNA from 1 species
UACGUAGGGUGCAAGCGUUGUUCGGAAUUAUUGGGCGUAAAGCGCUCGUAGGCGGGACAGGAAGUUCGUGUUGAAAGACCUCGGCUCAACUGAGGGACCGGCUCGAAUACUCUUGUUCUUGAGGCAAUCAGAGGGUGAUGGAAUUCCCGGUGUAGCGGUGAAAUGCGUAGAUAUCGGAAGGAACAUCAGUGGCGAAAGCGGCUUCCUGGUCCAGCACCGACGUUCAGGCACGAAAGCGUGGGGAGCAAACAGG